UCCUAUCACUACCUUAAUCGGACAUUAAUUUACAGAGUGGAUGAAAAUGGACCACACAUCACUCAAGAGGAAUUGAUAGAUAAAGCCAAGCAACUAGGGCAAGAAUUAAUGGUGCCGGAAUUGUGCUGUGUCACAUCAACGUAUGGAGUCCUGACACAGUUUAUUAACUGAGAGGAUGUCCAGUGCUUGAUCGGCCACCAUAUCUCAGGGGGGAAGAGAGGGUGCGAAGAGGGCAACUGUUUUGGCACUUUACACACAGCCAGUAUCUUAGUCUUUCC
rnacentral:lncRNA from 1 species